UACGGGAGGCAGCAGGUGGGAAUAUUGCACAAUGGGCGCAAGCCUGAUGCAGCCAUGCCGCGUGUAUGAAGAAGGCCUUCGGGUUGUAAAGUACUUUCAGUCGUGAGGAAGGUGUUAAGGUUAAUAACCUUAGCAAUUGACGUUAGCGACAGAAGAAGCACCGGCUAACUCCGUGCCAGCAGCCGCGGUAAUACGGAGGGUGCGAGCGUUAAUCGGAAUUACUGGGCGUAAAGGGCACGCAGGCGGUUAAUUAAGUUGGAUGUGAAAUCCCCGGGCUUAACCUGGGAAUGGCAUUCAAGACUGGUUAGCUAGAGUCUUGUAGAGGGGGUAGGAAUUCCAUGUGUAGCGGUGAAAUGCGUAGAGAUGUGGAGGAAUACCGGUGGCGAAGGCGGCCCCCUGGCAAAGGACUGACGCUCAUGUGCGAAAGCGUGGGGAGCAAACAGGGAUUAGAUACC
rnacentral:rRNA from 1 species